rnacentral:rRNA from 1 species
CCUACGGGAGGCAGCAGUGAGGAAUAUUGGUCAAUGGACGAGAGUCUGAACCAGCCAAGUAGCGUGAAGGAUGACUGCCCUAUGGGUUGUAAACUUCUUUUAUAUGGGAAUAAAAUGUUCCACGUGUGGGAUUUUGUAUGUACCAUAUGAAUAAGGAUCGGCUAACUCCGUGCCAGCAGCCGCGGUAAUACGGAGGAUCCGAGCGUUAUCCGGAUUUAUUGGGGUUAACGGGAGCGUAGGUGGAUUGUUAAGUCAGUUGUGAAAGUUUGCGGCUCAACCGUAAAAUUGCAGUUGAAACUGGCAGUCUUGAGUACAGUAGAGGUGGGCGGAAUUCGUGGUGUAGCGGUGAAAUGCUUAGAUAUCACGAAGAACUCCGAUUGCGAAGGCAGUUCACUGGACUGCAACUGACACUGAGGCGCGAAAGUGUGGGUAUCAAACAGGAUUAGAUACCCGAGUAGUC